GUGCUCGCUUCUACUGUACAUGCACUAAAAUUGGAAGGAUACAGAGAAGAUUUUCAUGGUCCCUGCCCAAGGAUGACGAGCAAAUCCACUGAGUUCCAUAUUUUU
ensembl:snRNA U6 U6 spliceosomal RNA